rnacentral:rRNA from 1 species
UACGUAGGGGGCUAGCGUUGUCCGGAAUCAUUGGGCGUAAAGCGCGUGUAGGCGGUCCGGUAAGUCCGCUGUGAAAGUCGGGGGCUCAACCCUCGGAUGCCGGUGGAUACUGUCGGGCUUGAGUACGGAAGAGGCGAGUGGAAUUCCUGGUGUAGCGGUGAAAUGCGCAGAUAUCAGGAGGAACACCAAUGGCGAAGGCAGCUCGCUGGGACGUUACUGACGCUGAGGCGCGAAAGCGUGGGGAGCGAACAGG